rnacentral:rRNA from 1 species
GGGGGGGGGGGGGGGGGGGGGGGGGGGGUGGGGGGCGGGGGGGGGGGGGCUGCGUGUGUGGGGGGGGCGGGUGGGGAGCGGGUGGGUGACACGUGGGGAACCUGCCCUUGCCUUUGGGGUGACUUCAGGAAACUGGGGCUAAUACCGGGUAGGAGCUCCUGCUGCGUGGUUGGGGUUGGAAAGUUUCGGCGGUUGGGGAUGGACUGGCGGCUUACCAGCUUGUUGGUGGGGUAGUGGCUUACCAAGGCUUUGACGGGUAGCCGGCCUGAGAGGGUGACCGGCCACAGUGGGACUGAGAUACGGCCCAGACGCCUACGGGAGGAAGCAGGGGGGAAUAUUGCACAAUGGGCGGAAGCCUGAGGCAGCAACGCCGCGGGCGGGAUGACGGCCUUCGGGUUGUAAACCGCUUUCGCCUGUGACGAAGCGGGAGUGACGGUAAUGGGUAAAGAAGCACCGGCUAACUACGUG